AGAGUUUGAUCAUGGCUCAGAUUGAACGCUGGCGGCAGGCCUAACACAUGCAAGUCGAACGGUAACAGGAAGCAGCUUGCUGCUUUGCUGACGAGUGGCGGACGGGUGAGUAAUGUCUGGGAAACUGCCUGAUGGAGGGGGAUAACUACUGGAAACGGUAGCUAAUACCGCAUAACGUCGCAAGACCAAAGAGGGGGACCUUCGGGCCUCUUGCCAUCGGAUGUGCCCAGAUGGGAUUAGCUAGUAGGUGGGGUAACGGCUCACCUAGGCGACGAUCCCUAGCUGGUCUGAGAGGAUGACCAGCCACACUGGAACUGAGACACGGUCCAGACUCCUACGGGAGGCUGCAGUGGGGAAUAUUGCACAAUGGGCGCAAGCCUGAUGCAGCCAUGCCGCGUGUAUGAAGAAGGCCUUCGGGUUGUAAAGUACUUUCAGCGGGGAGGAAGGCGAUAAGGUUAAUAACCUUGUCGAUUGACGUUACCCGCAGAAGAAGCACCGGCUAACUCCGUGCCAGCAGCCGCGGUAAUACGGAGGGUGCAAGCGUUAAUCGGAAUUACUGGGCGUAAAGCGCACGCAGGCGGUCUGUCAAGUCGGAUGUGAAAUCCCCGGGCUCAACCUGGGAACUGCAUUCGAAACUGGCAGGCUAGAGUCUUGUAGAGGGGGGUAGAAUUCCAGGUGUAGCGGUGAAAUGCGUAGAGAUCUGGAGGAAUACCGGUGGCGAAGGCGGCCCCCUGGACAAAGACUGACGCUCAGGUGCGAAAGCGUGGGGAGCAAACAGGAUUAGAUACCCUGGUAGUCCACGCCGUAAACGAUGUCGACUUGGAGGUUGUGCCCUUGAGGCGUGGCUUCCGGAGCUAACGCGUUAAGUCGACCGCCUGGGGAGUACGGCCGCAAGGUUAAAACUCAAAUGAAUUGACGGGGGCCCGCACAAGCGGUGGAGCAUGUGGUUUAAUUCGAUGCAACGCGAAGAACCUUACCUACUCUUGACAUCCAGAGAACUUUCCAGAGAUGGAUUGGUGCCUUCGGGAACUCUGAGACAGGUGCUGCAUGGCUGUCGUCAGCUCGUGUUGUGAAAUGUUGGGUUAAGUCCCGCAACGAGCGCAACCCUUAUCCUUUGUUGCCAGCGGUCCGGCCGGGAACUCAAAGGAGACUGCCAGUGAUAAACUGGAGGAAGGUGGGGAUGACGUCAAGUCAUCAUGGCCCUUACGAGUAGGGCUACACACGUGCUACAAUGGCGCAUACAAAGAGAAGCGACCUCGCGAGAGCAAGCGGACCUCAUAAAGUGCGUCGUAGUCCGGAUUGGAGUCUGCAACUCGACUCCAUGAAGUCGGAAUCGCUAGUAAUCGUGGAUCAGAAUGCCACGGUGAAUACGUUCCCGGGCCUUGUACACACCGCCCGUCACACCAUGGGAGUGGGUUGCAAAAGAAGUAGGUAGCUUAACCUUCGGGAGGGCGCUUACCACUUUGUGAUUCAUGACUGGGGUGAAGUCGUAACAAGGUAACCGUAGGGGAACCUGCGGUUGGAUCACCU
rnacentral:rRNA from 1 species